AGUGAACGCUGGCGGUAGGCCUAACACAUGCAAGUCGAACGGCAGCACAGUAAGAGCUUGCUCUUACGGGUGGCGAGUGGCGGACGGGUGAGGAAUACAUCGGAAUCUACUUUUUCGUGGGGGAUAACGUAGGGAAACUUACGCUAAUACCGCAUACGACCUACGGGUGAAAGCAGGGGAUCUUCGGACCUUGCGCGAUUGAAUGAGCCGAUGUCGGAUUAGCUAGUUGGCGGGGUAAAGGCCCACCAAGGCGACGAUCCGUAGCUGGUCUGAGAGGAUGAUCGGCCACACUGGAACUGGGACACGGUCCAGACUCCUACGGGAGGCAGCAGUGGGGAAUAUUGGGCAAUGGGCGCAAGCCUGGUCCAGCCAUACCGCGUGGGAGACGAAGGCCUUCGGGUUGUAAAGCCCUUUUGUUGGGAAAGAAAAGCAGCAGGUUGAUACCCCGCUGUUCUGACGGUACCCAAAGAAUAAGCACCGGCUAACUUCGUG
rnacentral:rRNA from 1 species